CAGCCGCCACGGUAAUGCGUAGGUGGCAAGCGUUGUCCGGAAUUAUUGGGCGUAAAGCGCGCGCAGGCGGAUAGGUCAGUCUGUCUUAAAAGUUCGGGGCUUAACCCCGUGAUGGGAUGGAACCUGCCAAUCUAGAGUAUCGGAGAGGAAAGUGGAAUUCCUAGUGUAGCGGUGAAAUGCGUAGAUAUUAGGAAGAACACCAGUGGCGAAGGCGACUUUCUGGACGAAAACUGACGCUGAGGCGCGAAAGCCAGGGGAGCGAACGGGAUUAGAGACCCGCGUAGUCCCUGUCUCUUAUACC
rnacentral:rRNA from 1 species